GUAUAAAUAUAGACAUAUAUCACUGUAGGAAAGAUGCUGAAAAUCUAGCAUGUCCACAGGACUGGCGAGGUCAAAUUUUUACCAGUCCUGCCAAAAAUCUAGCCUGUCCUCCAAAUAUAAAUAAAACACAACCUUCGGCAGUAAAUAUU